GGGCAAGCGUUGUUCGGAAUUACUGGGCGUAAAGGGCUCGUAGGUGGCCAACUAAGUCAGACGUGAAAUCCCUCGGCUUAACCGGGGAACUGCGUCUGAUACUGGAUGGCUUGAGUUCGGGAGAGGGAUGCGGAAUUCCAGGUGUAGCGGUGAAAUGCGUAGAUAUCUGGAGGAACACCGGUGGCGAAGGCGGCAUCCUGGACCGACACUGACACUGAGGAGCGAAAGCCAGGGGAGCAAACGGG
rnacentral:rRNA from 1 species